AGCAGCCGCGGUAAUUCCAGCUCCAAUAGCGUAUAUUAAAGUUGUUGCAGUUAAAAAGCUCGUAGUUGAAUUUCGAGACCGGUUUAUUGGUCGUGCUUUUGUACGUACUGGUAUUAUUGGUUUCUCCUUUCUGACGAACUUUAAUGCCAUUAAUUUGGUGUUUUAGGGAAUCAGGACUGUUACUUUGAAAAAAUUAGAGUGUUUAAAGCAGGCUCACGCUUGAAUACAUUAGCAUGGAAUAACGGAAUAGGACGUUUGAUUCUAUUUUGUUGGUUUCUAGGAUCGACGUAAUGAUUAAUAGGGAUAGUUGGGGGCAUUAGUAUUCAAUUGUCAGAGGUGAAAUUCUUGGAUUUAUUGAAGACUAACUACUGCGAAAGCAUUUGCCAAGGAUGUUUUCAUUAAUCAAGAACGAAAGUUAGGGGAUCGAAGACGAUCAGAUACCGUCGUAGU
rnacentral:rRNA from 1 species